rnacentral:rRNA from 1 species
AGAGUUGAUCCUGGCUCAGAUUGAACGCUGGCGGCAGGCCUAACACAUGCAAGUCGAGCGGUAGAGAGGUGCUUGCACCUCUUGAGAGCGGCGGACGGGUGAGUAAAGCCUAGGAAUCCGCCUGGUAGUGGGGGAUAACGCUCGGAAACGGACGCUAAUACCGCAUACGUCCUACGGGAGAAAGCAGGGGACCUUCGGGCCUUGCGCUAUCAGAUGAGCCUAGGUCGGAUUAGCUAGUUGGUGAGGUAAUGGCUCACCAAGGCGACGAUCCGUAACUGGUCUGAGAGGAUGAUCAGUCACACUGGAACUGAGACACGGUCCAGACUCCUACGGGAGGCAGCAGUGGGGAAUAUUGGACAAUGGGCGAAAGCCUGAUCCAGCCAUGCCGCGUGUGUGAAGAAGGUCUUCGGAUUGUAAAGCACUUUAAGUUGGGAGGAAGGGCAUUAACCUAAUACGUUAGUGUUUUGACGUUACCGACAGAAUAAGCACCGGCUAACUCUGUGCCAGCAGCC